CACGUAGGGGGCAAGCGUUGUCCGGAUUUAUUGGGCGUAAAGAGCUCGUAGGCGGCUUAGUAAGUCGGGUGUGAAACCUCCAGGCUCAACCUGGAGACGCCACCCGAUACUGCUGUGGCUAGAGUCCGGAAGAGGAGAGUGGAAUUCCCGGUGUAGCGGUGAAAUGCGCAGAUAUCGGGAAGAACACCCGUGGCGAAGGCGGCUCUCUGGGACGGUACUGACGCUGAGACGCGAAAGCGUGGGGAGCGAACAGG
rnacentral:rRNA from 1 species